CCCCUGCCAAAGCAACAAACGCGCAGACCCUCUCAACCGGGUCAAGAGCAGAGCUGCCGCCGCCGAUCAGCGCUUCCCGGGAAACGCGCGUCCGGGACAGAUUCAGGUAACUGGUCAUGUUAUUUGGAAACAGAAACCACUGAGUCUCUUCAUUUCUGUUUUGUCUGGGCUCUUUCAGUACACACACUUGGGAUUACUCACCUGGGAGCAAGACCUGAGUUCUGGUGCAAGCCUUCUAUUUACCUGCCUGGGUGAUGCAAGUCACUUAACCUCAGAGGAAACAAGAGGAUUCAUCUGACUUAACUGGAGAUGGCUCCCUUUCCUAAUUUUUGUUCCAUUCCUGAAGCUUCCGCCCUGCAGGGCUCAGCGUGAGCAGACAGGAACAUGCGAAGAGGCAAUUGCCCGAGAGGUACCAGUUCCCAGAGGCAGAGCGGCCCCUCUGCUGGGCCUGGGCAAAGAAAACUCCCCACCUCUUUCUUGUAUUCAGUGGGUUUUUGCUGAACCUGGAAAGGAAGUAAAUUCCAAAGGCAGGAAAUGACCCAGAGACCGUAACAAUAUGUGAAAAGCCAAGCCGGUGCUUCCGUGGCUUAAUUUCAAACAAUUCUAAUCUGUGUCCCAGGAAGCCUAACCCAUUACCAGAUGGAUAUCUGUUCCCAGACGCCUCUGGGCAUCUGCCACUCCCGGCUGUUGACAUUUGCACGUUUCAAGAAGGCAGACCUGUCCUGAUAGCUUCAAACUUCCAGAGAAGGGCAACCCCAGGAGGGUCCUCAGGUCUCUGGCUUGGAGCACCGACCAUCUGAUGUGCUUCGUCAUAGCUGAAUUGUUGCUGGCCCCCAGCCUAGAACACUGGCAUGCCAAAUCUGUUCUUGAAGACUCGCAGGAUCUGAAAUCAAAAAGCCCCGUGGUGCCAGAAAAGGCUGGCUGCCUUGCUGGCUGCCUAAUCCCUUCCCACCAGGCUUCCCUAAAGAAACUGAUGAGUCAGGAAGGAAUAAAACGUAUCUGCCGGAGAGCUGGGUUGGGUUGGUCUCUCUCAUUGCUUCUGAAAAUUCCUCCUGGUUUGCGAUGCAGGUGAUGUUUGGCGAUUCGGUUGUGCUUUUCCUGUGUCUUCCCCUAUCAUCUCUCUCUUUGAGGAACAUUUCAUUUACCACUCCUGAAAUCAGAUCGGCAAAAGCAGGAGUCCCUUUGAUGGGGAGUUAGUCAAUGUUGUAAGGAAGGUUUCACUUCACUUUUGUCCCCGGGAGCAGGGUAAGAAAAACUUUCCACCUUGACCCCCAAAUGGAACCAUCGUUUACUUGCUUUGUUCUGGCCCCGGGGCCUCUGCUUUUCCAAGGCUUUUAAUUUUUACUGAGCACCAUCCAUCAGUCUUCCCACGGGUUUUAAACACAGUGACAUGGCUUCUGGAAUACUUGCCUCAAACAGGUAUCCUGCUAAUCCCCUCCGCUAGUAAUCAGA